rnacentral:lncRNA from 1 species
CCAAAGACAGUAUCCAUUGGUUCCACUAGUUUCUAGAAUUUUAAUAAUACAUGUUUUUCCAGAAAAUCACCCAUUGUGUGAAAUCUGUAUUUUUUUAUCAGCAUGUAAUCGUCUGACUUUAAUCUUCUUUACCUCUGCUACUGUAUUCCCUUUUUAAAUACUUAAUUUUGUUAAUUUUUGCUUUCCCAUUCUCUUUCUUGACGCCAAAGCUCUACCUGUACUAUCAAUACUGUUUACCCUCAAAAUCACCUCCUGGCUUACCAGUUCUGCCAUUUUUAGUCUUCUAAUUUUGUAUGCUUGCCUUCAUGUGGUUCAGCUCUUUCCUCCUUCUCUCCUGUGUUACUUUGUGCGCCUAUUACUUUUCCUCAAUUUGAAAACAAUUAAAAUAACUAAGUCUAGACAUUAUUCCCAAGCACAGCGUCAAUGCCUGCCGUGAACUCUGAGGCUGCUGUGGUUCCCUGAGCUGAGCAAGCCGCCUGCGGGCCCACGAGGAAGGCAUCAUAGCCAAGCCCUGGAAUGGGAGGCGGCUUGUAGACUGUCACCAAGUCCCUCAAAUCUGUUCACUGAAUGUCUCUGCUGCCCCCGCCUCUCUCUGGCAGUGAGGAAGAGAGUCCAUGUUAUAACACAAGUUCAAGGGCCUACAUCUGAGGCCUUCAGGCCCCCCACGUUCUGCACUGAGAGCCUCCUGCUGUGCCUGGCCACCCAGCAUCAUUGAGUGGAGACCAGUGUAACCUUUGAACCCAGGAGGCAGCCCAGGAUGUGUUGAGUUACAUCGACUGCACAGCCCAUGUCUCUUCCACUUGGCUGUUCAGCGUGAUCUCCCCUCUCCUCGACACGGCCAGCCCAGACUGGCCUCCGUGGCUGCCCUCCCCAUGGCAGGCAGGGAUGGAGGCAGGCUGAGGCACCUGUCCUCUGAGGCCUGCGGAGGCUCUCUCUCCUGCGCUUCUCUGAGGAUGUUGCUCCGCCCUACUCAAGGAGUACUAGACCCCUCUGUCUGCUGAGGUCAGCAUCCCAGAACAUGGCUCCAGCUGACGAUUGCACUUGGCACCCAUAUCCUCCGUGCGACAACCUGGUGUCAGCAGUCUCG